rnacentral:rRNA from 1 species
GACGAACGCUGGCGGCGCGCCUAACACAUGCAAGUCGAACGAGCGAGAGAGAGCUUGCUUUCUUGAGCGAGUGGCGAACGGGUGAGUAACGCGUGAGGAACCUGCCUCAAAGAGGGGGACAACAGUUGGAAACGACUGCUAAUACCGCAUAAGCCCACGACCCGGCAUCGGGUUGAGGGAAAAGGAGCAAUCCGCUUUGAGAUGGCCUCGCGUCCGAUUAGCUAGUUGGUGAGGUAACGGCCCACCAAGGCGACGAUCGGUAGCCGGACUGAGAGGUUGAACGGCCACAUUGGGACUGAGACACGGCCCAGACUCCUACGGGAGGAAGCAGUGGGGAAUAUUGCACAAUGGGGAAACCCUGAUGCAGCGACGCCGCGUGGAGGAAGAAGGUCUUCGGAUUGUAAACUCCUGUUGUUGAGGAAGAUAAUGACGGUACUCAACAAGGAAGUGACGGCUAACUACGUG